GUCCACACCGUAAACGAUGAGUGCCAGUUGUUGGGGGGCUACCCUCAGUGACGUCGUUAACGCUUUAAGCACUCCGCCUGGGGAGUACGGCCGCAAGGUUAAAACUCAAAGAAAUUGACGGGGACCCGCACAAGCGGUGGAGCAUGUGGUUUAAUUCGAGGCAACGCGAAGAACCUUACCAGGCCUUGACAUGGUUAGUAUGGUCGCCAGAGAUGGCUUCCUUCAGUUCGGCUGGCUAACACACAGGUGCUGCAUGGCU
rnacentral:rRNA from 1 species